rnacentral:rRNA from 1 species
AAAUUGAAGAGUUUGAUCAUGGCUCAGAUUGAACGCUGGCGGCAGGCCUAACACAUGCAAGUCGAGCGGUAGCACAGAGAGCUUGCUCUCGGGUGACGAGCGGCGGACGGGUGAGUAAUGUCUGGGAAACUGCCUGAUGGAGGGGGAUAACUACUGGAAACGGUAGCUAAUACCGCAUAACGUCGCAAGACCAAAGUGGGGGACCUUCGGGCCUCAUGCCAUCAGAUGUGCCCAGAUGGGAUUAGCUAGUAGGUGGGGUAACGGCUCACCUAGGCGACGAUCCCUAGCUGGUCUGAGAGGAUGACCAGCCACACUGGAACUGAGACACGGUCCAGACUCCUACGGGAGGCAGCAGUGGGGAAUAUUGCACAAUGGGCGCAAGCCUGAUGCAGCCAUGCCGCGUGUGUGAAGAAGGCCUUCGGGUUGUAAAGCACUUUCAGCGGGGAGGAAGGCGGUGAGGUUAAUAACCUCAUCGAUUGACGUUACCCGCAGAAGAAGCACCGGCUAACUCCGUGCCAGCAGCCGCGGUAAUACGGAGGGUGCAAGCGUUAAUCGGAAUUACUGGGCGUAAAGCGCACGCAGGCGGUCUGUCAAGUCGGAUGUGAAAUCCCCGGGCUUAACCUGGGAACUGCAUUCGAAACUGGCAGGCUAGAGUCUUGUAGAGGGGGGUAGAAUUCCAGGUGUAGCGGUGAAAUGCGUAGAGAUCUGGAGGAAUACCGGUGGCGAAGGCGGCCCCCUGGACAAAGACUGACGCUCAGGUGCGAAAGCGUGGGGAGCAAACAGGAUUAGAUACCCUGGUAGUCCACGCCGUAAACGAUGUCGAUUUGGAGGUUGUGCCCUUGAGGCGUGGCUUCCGGAGCUAACGCGUUAAAUCGACCGCCUGGGGAGUACGGCCGCAAGGUUAAAACUCAAAUGAAUUGACGGGGCCCGCACAAGCGGUGGAGCAUGUGGUUUAAUUCGAUGCAACGCGAAGAACCUUACCUGGUCUUGACAUCCACAGAACUUUCCAGAGAUGGAUUGGUGCCUUCGGGAACUGUGAGACAGGUGCUGCAUGGCUGUCGUCAGCUCGUGUUGUGAAAUGUUGGGUUAAGUCCCGCAACGAGCGCAACCCUUAUCCUUUGUUGCCAGCGGUCCGGCCGGGAACUCAAAGGAGACUGCCAGUGAUAAACUGGAGGAAGGUGGGGAUGACGUCAAGUCAUCAUGGCCCUUACGACCAGGGCUACACACGUGCUACAAUGGCAUAUACAAAGAGAAGCGACCUCGCGAGAGCAAGCGGACCUCAUAAAGUAUGUCGUAGUCCGGAUUGGAGUCUGCAACUCGACUCCAUGAAGUCGGAAUCGCUAGUAAUCGUAGAUCAGAAUGCUACGGUGAAUACGUUCCCGGGCCUUGUACACACCGCCCGUCACACCAUGGGAGUGGGUUGCAAAAGAAGUAGGUAGCUUAACCUUCGGGAGGGCGCUUACCACUUUGUGAUUCAUGACUGGGGUGAAGUCGUAACAAGGUAACCGUAGGGGAACCUGCGGUUGGAUCACCUCCUUACCUUAAAGAA